AUUGAACGCUGGCGGCAUGCUUUACACAUGCCAGUCGAACGGUAACAGGCCGCAAGGUGCUGACGAGUGGCGAACGGGUGAGUAAUGCAUCGGAACGUGCCCAGUCGUGGGGGAUAACUACUCGAAAGAGUAGCUAAUACCGCAUACGAUCUAUGGAUGAAAGCGGGGGACCGUAAGGCCUCGCGCGAUUGGAGCGGCCGAUGUCAGAUUAGGUAGUUGGUGGGGUAAAGGCUCACCAAGCCAACGAUCUGUAGCUGGUCUGAGAGGACAACCAGCCACACUGGGACUGAGACACGGCCCAGACUCCUACGGGAGGCAGCAGUGGGGAAUUUUGGACAAUGGGCGCAAGCCUGAUCCAGCAAUGCCGCGUGCAGGAAGAAGGCCUUCAGGUUGUAAACUGCUUUUGUACGGAACGAAACGGCUCUGGUUAAUACCCGGGGCUAAUGACGGUACCGUAAGAAUAAGCACCGGCUAACUACGUG
rnacentral:rRNA from 1 species